GUUCGGCUCUCGCAGGAGCUCGGGUGGAAUCCGAAAGGCAAUCGACCAUUGUAAAAAUUUAGAUGGAGUCUGGUUACUGUAGAAAUCUCGUUGUCAGAGAAGCUCGGAUAUUGACGAAGUCUGAAAGAAGUUUGGAGUAGAGUCAUCCGUGGUCGGAAGAAGUCUGGAAGGGAUUCGGAGAAUAGUUGAUCACUGUAGAAAAUUGGCUGAUAGUGAAGCCCAGAGAGCAUUUGGAGCGGCCCGGUAGAUGAAUGGAGAAGCUCAUUGUCAGAGAAGUCCGGGUGGUAUUAUGGAAGUUCGGACGGUCGAGGGACUUCAGAAAGAUGUCACAC
rnacentral:lncRNA from 1 species